rnacentral:rRNA from 1 species
GACCUCGGAUCAGGUAGGGAUACCCGCUGAACUUAAGCAUAUCAAUAAGCGGAGGAAAAGAAACCAACAGGGAUUGCCCUAGUAACGGCGAGUGAAGCGGCAACAGCUCAAAUUUGAAAUCUGGCGUCUUCGGCGUCCGAGUUGUAAUUUGCAGAGGGCGCUUUGGCAUUGGCAGCGGUCCAAGUUCCUUGGAACAGGACGUCACAGA